rnacentral:snoRNA from 14 species
ACCACACCUGACCAGUAUUGUGUGACUCGUACAAUACUGAACUGACAGUGAGCCCCAGUUUAGGAAAGAGGGCUGUCCUACAUAUGAAUGUUGAAAGCAUGGGAACAGCC